rnacentral:rRNA from 1 species
AGAGUUUGAUCAUGGCUCAGAUUGAACGCUGGCGGCAUGCUUUACACAUGCAAGUCGAACGCGAAAGCGGGGCAACCCGCAAGUAGAGUGGCGACGGGUGGGUAAUACAUCGGAACGCGCCCUUUAGUGGGGGACAACGCCGAGAAAUCGGCGCUAAUACCGCAUACGCCCGAGAGGGGAAAGCGGGGGACCGCAAGCCUCGCGCUGUUGGAGCGGCCGAUGUCCGAUUAGCUAGUUGGUGGGGUAAAGGCUCACCAAGGCGACGAUCGGUAGCUGGUCUGAGAGGAUGAUCAGCCACACUGGGACUGAGGCACGGCCCAGACUCCUACGGGAGGCAGCAGUGGGGAAUUUUGGACAAUGGGGGCAACCCUGAUCCAGCCAUGCCGCGUGAGUGAAGAAGGCCUUCGGGUUGUAAAGCUCUUUCGGCCGGAACGAAAUCGCGCGGGCGAACAAUCCGCGUGGAUGACGGUACCGGAAUAAGAAGCACCGGCUAACUACGUGCCAGCAGCCGCGGUAAUACGUAGGGUGCAAGCGUUAAUCGGAAUUACUGGGCGUAAAGCGUGCGCAGGCGGUCGCGUAAGCCAGAUGUGAAAGCCCCGGGCUUAACCUGGGAAUUGCAUUUGGUACUGCGUGGCUAGAGUGCGGCAGAGGGAGGUGGAAUUCCUGGUGUAGCAGUGAAAUGCGUAGAUAUCAGGAGGAACACCGAUGGCGAAGGCAGCCUCCUGGGCCAGCACUGACGCUCAUGCACGAAAGCGUGGGGAGCAAACAGGAUUAGAUACCCUAGUAGUCC